rfam:Nicotiana attenuata strain TT chromosome 7, whole genome shotgun sequence.
UGGACAGAUUAUUGUAUUCGACUGUAUUCACGGCGUGAAACAUGGGAUUAUGCUGUAUUUAAACGGAAAGUGAAUCAAUUAACAUAAUAGACUCCU